UGUCAAGGGAUGGGAAUCGAACCCACAGUGUUCCGCUUACCGGGUAGAUGCCAUGUCCACUAGGAUCCCUGGAC